CGGCGGACGGGUGAGUAACACGUGGAUAACCUACCUAUAAGACUGGGAUAACUUCGGGAAACCGGAGCUAAUACCGGAUAAUAUAUUGAACCGCAUGGUUCAAUAGUGAAAGACGGUUUUGCUGUCACUUAUAGAUGGAUCCGCGUCGCAUUAGCUAGUUGGUAAGGUAACGGCUUACCAAGGCAACGAUGCGUAGCCGACCUGAGAGGGUGAUCGGCCACACUGGAACUGAGACACGGUCCAGACUCCUACGGGAGGCAGCAGUC
rnacentral:rRNA from 1 species